GCCUGGCCCAGGACCAAAUCAAAAGGUCUGAAAAAUGAUAUUCAUUGUCCUAAUGUGUAAAUUUCGACAAUUUGCAAAUUUGUAGAUUCUUUAGAAUAGAACUAACUCAAGCCCUUCAUUCUGCAGCUGAGGCUCACUGCCCCCAGUGGGCAGUGGGUCCAGGGGGUUUCUGAGGACAGGGCAUGACCCAGCCCUGCUGCCCCCAAGAUGGCACCUGGCUUGGAGGGGUGAGGGGCCCUGUUAGUCUGACUUUGAAGAAGACCAGCCUUCCAGACUCGCUUGGUGCCCUGACAGGUAUGUGUGCUCUUCUCUCUCCCACCUAACAGCCCCUUUUGGGAGACAGGGUCUGAGAGGAAGAUCAUGAUUAAUCCAGUUCUGCACAAAACACUGAGGUCCAUUAGAAGACAAUAGGUCUUGGCUGUUUCAUUCCUUUUAAGAGCUGUUUAAUAUUCCACGGUAUGUAUGCACCAUUGUUGAUUACACUCUUCUACUGUUGAAAAUCCCAGCUGAAAGUGCUCUGGGGGAGGAGAAGCUUUGGUCACAGUCCUAGCCGUCAGGGUGGGUCACAGAUUCAUAGGUGUUCAUUAAAUUAUUUUUUAAAAAAGAAUACAUAAAAAUGGUGCUUAAUGCAGAUCAGUGAGGAAGCGUGUCACAAAUCGAGGUUUUAAUUAAUACGAUUCUGCUCAACUAAUGCCCGAUAAAAAAGAUCUAAGCUGUUUCCAUUUUUUGUUGCUGUUACCAACGACACUGCAGUGAGCAUUCUUGCAGCUAAAUCUGUAAACACAUCCUCGACUGUUCCUUUACCCCAGCUUCUUAGAGAUGGGGUGGUGGGUUAAAUUGUUUGCAAAAGUUUAUUUUCAUUGAGUGAUCUUUCUAAAAUGGCAUUUUGACCUUGUUACUGUCUUGCUUUAAAGCCUCCAUCUGACUUCCUGGAGCUUCCGGGACGGGGUCCAAAAAAUAAGGCCUUAUCCUGGCAUGGAAGACCCUUUAGGGUCUGUCUUGGAACUUGCCAGCCUCAGCCCCUCCCCACUGGUGUUUACCUGCUAGGCGCACCUCACCCCCACGGGGCUACCUGUUUCUCUCAGCGGGCUCCCUACUUCUUAGGCUUUGCGCGGCCGUGCCUUUUCAGCCAGUUUCUCCCCGGCCUUAAAGAGCAGGCUUGAAAUAUCCCUGUUGGGGAGCCCAAAGUUAGAUGGGCCCCACGAAACACUGUGUUCAGAAGCCCACCGAAGCCCUGACCCUGGAAGUGGGAUGCCUCAUUGACAUUUUUUUCCCAAUUAAAGGGAAUGUUUUGCAUUUUUCUAGAAUUGAUGAAACUGGUCAACUGUUACUCACCCUCCUUCCUUUGUCCCUUUCUAGGAGCCCUGGGCUCCCCCAGUGUUGCCUGGGUCUGACUUUGCCUCAGUGAAAACUGCCUCGAAUUCUUUCUUGCACCGAUGGGCAGAUGGGCAGUGUCGGAGGAUCGUGUCAUCUGUCCCGUGGCGCUGGGUAAGUCUGCAGUGUUGUAAAGCUGCAAACACCCUUCUGGGUGGGGCUCAGGCUGGCACCCCCCCACUGCCCCAGCCUGCGCUAUACCACGUUCCCCUGAUGCUUGCCUUGUGCCGGGCCCCAGAACCCAGAGUCAUGGGGUCCACAGCGCGGGAGUAGCGUCUCAGUGUUGUGAGUUCUGGGGAUGAGGUUCGGGGUAUGAUUACAUAUUCUUGAUUGACUCAUAAAUUUCUUUUACAGUUGGCUUGGUCAAGUCAGUGUUCAAACUAUCUCCUGCUCUUUCAAGGGGAUCUGGGGCUCUAGAAGAUUAGAGGACUUGGAGAGGUUAGUGACUUGCUCGAGGUCGGCUAGGAAGCAAGACCCAGGAUUCCAACUCAGGUCUGUGUGAUUCCUCUGCAAAAUGGAGAGGUGGAAGGAUGGAUGUCAGGUCUGAUGGAUGGAUGGAUGCCUACAUCAAGAUACAUGCAUAGAUGGAGAGAUGGCUGGCUACCUCAUGAAUGCUGGGAAUGAGAGAGGAUAGUCAAUUUCCCACCAAGAUCAAAGGCUUACUUGAUCUUUGAAGAGAGGUUCCCUCUGAAUGGAGCUUGCUGGUGAAGCUCCUGCCUUCUGUUCUGCUUCUGAGCGCACUGACUGGCUCAGGUGGCUCUGGGACAACAGGUGGGAUGCCAGCUUACAGGGACCAAGUCCCAGCUGUGGUGCUGGAGCUGCUCAGUGGCAACUCUCCGUCUCUGCUGCUUUCACGCAGCACUGACGAAGAGCAGGCAUCCGCCUUUCCACUGGCUCUCCUGGAUGACUAAGCCCUAAGCCCCAACCGCAUACUCAGCCCUUCACUGGCACUUGGCAUAAUUUUAUCUCCUCUAAAUCAUCACAGCCACCCUCCAUGAUAGCAAUUUCUAUUCUCAAUUAAGUGAAAAGGAAACCGAAGUUUAGGAGUGGUAAGUGACUUACCCAAAAUCGUAUAAGGAGGAAAUGCAGACCCAGGAUUUGAACUCGAGUCUUCUUUCCUUCCAAACUCAUCCCCUCAACCUGUUUAUUUCCUUUUCUCUAUGACCAUGUCUGAAGAAAUCUGCCUUGGGGUUGUCUCAUAUUGGACUCACUCUCUUGGUCUGUCAGUGAGCUGAACUUCUCAUCCAAUCAAAUCCAAGCUUAUUUCCCAAGUAAUAUCUCUAGUGUAUUCUAUUUGUAAUGAUCACACAGGCAAGGGCCACACAUAUCACUGGCAUCCUACAGUACAAUUAAUCAAGUCAAAUUAGAUUCCUGGCAUCUCAUAUUCUGACUGAAUGCUAAUGGUAGUAGAUGUAAAAAUGACUCCAGUGCAAGGCAAGGAGGGAGGGGACUGGAUGUAGGGCUGAAUGGCGAAUCAGUAAGCCUUGCUGCAGACCUGGGUUAACAUUAGCAGAUAGGUUUUGAGAACCUGCUCAUGGGCUAGGCCCUACUUCACACAUUCUAGGUGCUAAGGUUUCAAUCUCAGCUUUGCCAUUGACUACUUUUGUGAGUUUGGACAAGGUAUUUAAUUUCUGUGCCGCGUUUUCUUCAGUUGUACCAACAGUACCUUACUAAUACCGAUAGUACCUUACUAAUGAGUACUUGAGGAUUAAAUGAGGCAAACAUAUAAAUUCCUUAAAAGAGAGCAUUCCAGGCUGGGCAUGGUGGCUUAUGCCUGUAAUCCCAGCACUUUGGGAGGCUGAGGUGGGAGGAUCCCUUGAGCCCAGGAGUUCGAGACCAGCCUGAGAAACAUAGGGAGACCCCAAUCUCUACAAAAUAUUUAAAAAUUAUCUGGGUGUAGUGGUGCACAUCUGUGGUCCUAGUUACCUGGGAGACUGAGAUGGGAAGAUUGCUUGGGCCUGGGAGGUCAAGGCUGCAGUGAGCCAUGGUUGUGCCACUGCACUUUAGCCUGGAUGACAGAGGGAAACCCGGUCUCCAAAGAAAAAAAAAGACUGUUGUGAGAAUCAAACGAGAUAAUGUAUGCUGAGGCAUGCUGUGAACACUACGUGCUGGGUACAGGAGGACAGCCAAGCAUGUACCAAUGAUGGCAAUGUGUUCCUCACUCCCCAGCUUUAUAAAUAUAUAAUUGAUAAAUCAGUAUUGUAUGUAUUUGUAUUGUAUUUAAAUUGUACAGUGUGACAUUUUGAUAUACAUAUAUAUUGUGAAAUGAUUACCAUAAUCAAGCGAAUUAACAUACCCAUCACCUCAUGUAGUUCCGUUUUUCCAUGUGUGCAGUGAGAAUACUUAAGGUCUACUCUUUUAGCAAAUUUCAAGCAUGAAAUACAUUAUUGUUAACUAUAGUCACCGUACUCUGCAUUGGGUUACCAGAACUUACUCCUAACUGCAUCUUACUCCUAAGUUUGCAUCCUCUCACUAAGAUCUCCAGAUUCCUCUCACUCCUGACCCCUAGUAACUACCUUUCUAGUCUCUGCUUCUGUGAGGUUAUUCCAAAACAAAAGCCAGGUUCUAGGCUGUUGAGGCUGAGGGUAGGAAGUGUAUCAACAGGUAUACAGAAUAGUCACUGGUCUUGGGCUAAAUGGUGACUUCAAGUGUAGUGGCUGCAUAGUCAAAAAUGAAUUAGAUGAGUACAAAAGUGACGAAAUGAAAGAAUGUCAAGAAUGGACCACAAAGACAGUGUUUUAUGACCUAAAGAUUAAGAUUUAUCCAUUUGUGUACAAUUGUGGACUAUAUAAAAUAAAACAAGACUUUGACCUCAGUGGAUAAGAAGUAUUUGGAUGUACUAAUCAAUAUUUUUGGUCUGGGUCAGUGGUGGGUUCAUCUGUGUUUGUUGUAUUUAAAAAAAUUCUAAUAGUUGCUGUUUGUUGCACAGAAUGGACAAAUCAUAGUUUAUAUAGUCAUGCAGUAUUUAUGAGAAUGUUGACUCUUACUUGGGUAGAUAAGGUACUUAAAGAAAAUGUAAUUAAUAGUUGAUGUUGUUAAAUCUUGGCUGGAGAGUUGUUUAAGGGUGUUCAUAAAUGAGUAAAUGAAUGAAUGAACAAACACAUGAAUAAAACAAGAGAGGGCAAACAUGGGACAAAGGUGAUCAUAUCUCAUUGUCGUAAAUUCUUUUUAUGUAGCUUCAGCAUCCGUUUUCAACCUAAGUUUAACUUUCUCAUUCCAGAAGCAGGCUUAGUCACCCUUGACACAGUUUGCAGUUAUCCACCUCCUCCAAGUUCUUAAUAUGUUAGAUCCAGAUAACUGCCUUGUACAGCCACCUCCAGGAUACUGCCUCCCUAAAAAACAGCUAGAUACACUGACCCCACAGCCUAUGUGGACCACACAGAUAUAGUGGCUUGCUCUAAAUGCACCAGUGAGAACUCUCUGCAGGAAACCUGCUUGGGAAAUGCCAUAGCCUGCAAUACAGGCUUUCCCCUUCCCGCUGGCCCUUAUUUCAUUUUGUACAUGAACAUAGUUUAUUUACACGUUUGCCCAUAAAUAGAAAUCUGGGCUAUUUACUCUGACCAAGGAGCACACAAAGAGAUGAAAGAUGACGUCAGUGUUCUAUUAGUGGAGUAACAGAUUGGAUUUAUGAUUGCUCAUUGCAACUUCUUUAGAAAUGAUCAAAUCAAAUAAAAGAGUGUCAGCAUAAACCAAUGAUGAUGUUUCAUGAAGCAGAGAUCAUGAUUAAUCCAAUUAGGUUCAUUAGAAAAAGUUCUAGAAUAUAACCUAAGAGUAUUUUCUAGUAUUGCCCAAUGGAACUUUCUUUCU
rnacentral:lncRNA from 1 species